UUUCCGUAGGUGAACCUGCGGAAGGAUCAUUGUCGAAACCUGCCCAGCAGAACGACCCGCGAACUUGUAUAAACAACCGGGGGCGGGGGGCGUUCUCGCCCCGUGCCCCCGAACGGCGGGGAGACACUCGUGCCUUCUUGCCGAACAACGUACCCCGGCGCGGUCUGCGCCAAGGAACUUCAACUAAAGAGUGCCUCCGGUCGCCUCGGAAACGGCGUGCGUGCCGGGGGCGAACCUUGUGCAAAACCAUAACGACUCUCGGCAACGGAUAUCUCGGCUCUC
rnacentral:misc_RNA from 1 species